UCAGGUGGUUAUAGUGUCGGGGUUCCACCUCUUCCCAUUCCGAACAGAGAAGUUAAGCCCGACCGCGCCGAUGGUACUGCGUUUGUGGGAGAGUAGGUAGCCGCCGUUU
rnacentral:rRNA from 3 species